UACAGAGGGGGCAAGCGUUAUUCGGAAUUAUUGGGCGUAAAGGGCGCGUAGGCGGCUUUUCAAGUGACGGGUGAAAUCCCUCGGCUUAAUCGAGGAACUGCCUGUCAGACUGGAAGGCUUGAGACCGGGAGAGGUGAGUGGAAUUCCCAGUGUAGCGGUGAAAUGCGUAGAUAUUGGGAGGAACACCAGUGGCGAAGGCGGCUCACUGGACCGGAACUGACGCUGAGGCGCGAAAGCGUGGGGAGCAAACAGG
rnacentral:rRNA from 1 species